GAUGAACGCUGGCGGCGUGCCUAAUACAUGCAAGUCGAGCGGUCGGACGCGUUGCUUGCUGCUCUGUGGUUAGCGGCGGCCGGGGGGGUAGCACCUCGUGAGCCACCUUCUCACACCGGCUGGACAUCGGCAAGCCGGUGUUGCUACUGGGUGAUAUUUUGAACCGCAUGGUUGAAAAGUGUAAGACGGUCUUUCUGUCAGUUAUAGAUGGGUCCGCGCCGCAUUAGCUAGUUGGUAAGGUAAUGGCUUACCAAGGCGACGAUGAAUAGCCGACCUGAGAGGAUGAUCGGCCACACUAGAAGUGAGACGCGGUCGAGACUCCUACGGGAGGCAGCAGUAGGGAGUCUUCCGGCAUGGGCGAAAGCCUGACGGUGCAACGCCGCGUGGGUGAUGAAGGUCUUCGGAUCGUAAAGCUCUGUUAUUGGGGAAGAAGAUAUGUGUACGUGACUGUGCACAUCUUGACGGUACCUAAACAAAAAGCCCCGGCUAACUACGUG
rnacentral:rRNA from 1 species